AGAUAGCUGCGUUAGGGAUUGCAGUGGAAAUCCUUUUUGUGAGGCACGAAUAAAAAGAUUGUAAUGUAAAGCCCGCCCCUUG
rnacentral:sRNA from 1 species